AACAGGAUUAGAUACCCUGGUAGUCCACGCCCUAAACGAUGUCUACUAGUUGUCGGGUCUUAAUUGACUUGGUAACGCAGCUAACGCGUGAAGUAGACCGCCUGGGGAGUACGGUCGCAAGAUUAAAACUCAGAGGAAUUGACGGGGACCCGCACAAGCGGUGGAUGAUGUGGAUUAAUUCGACGCAACGCGAAAAACCUUACCUACCCUUGACAUGGCUGGAAUCCUUGAGAGAUCAGGGAGUGCUCGAAAGAGAACCAGUACACAGGUGCUGCAUGGCUGUCGUCAGCUCGUGUCGUGAGAUGUUGGGUUAAGUCCCGCAACGAGCGCAACCCUUGUCAUUAGUUGCUACGAAAGGGCACUCUAAUGAGACUGCCGGUGACAAACCGGAGGAAGGUGGGGAUGACGUCAAGUCCUCAUGGCCCUUAUGGGUAGGGCUUCACACGUCAUACAAUGGUACAUACAGAGCGCCGCCAACCCGCGAGGGGGAGCUGAUCGCAGAAAGUGUAUCGUAGUCCGGAUUGUAGUCUGCAACUCGACUGCAUGAAGUUGGAAUCGCUAGUAAUCGCGGAUCAGCAUGUCGCGGUGAAUACGUUCCCGGGUCUUGUACACACCGCCCGUCACACCAUGGGAGCGGGUUUUACCAGAAGUAGGUAGCUUAACCGUAAGGAGGGCGCUUACCACGGUAGGAUUCGUGACUGGGGUGAAGUCGUAACAAGGUAACC
rnacentral:rRNA from 1 species